AUUGAACGCUGGCGGCAGGCCUAACACAUGCAAGUCGAACGAGUGGCGGACGGGUGAGUAAUGGAUGGGAAACUGCCUGAUGGAGGGGGAUAACUAGUGGAAACGGUAGAUCAUAAAGCUACCCAUCAGAUGUGCCCAGACGGGAUUAGCUAGUUGGUGGGGUAACGGCUCACCGAGGCGACGAUCCCUAUCUGGUCUGAGAGGAUGACCAGCCACACUGGAACUGAGACACGGUCCAGACUCCUACGGGAGGCAGCAGUGGGGAAUAUUGCACAAUGGGCGCAAGCCUGAUGCAGCCAUGCCGCGUGUAUGAAGAAGGCCUUCGGGUUGUAAAGUACUUUCAGCGGGGAGGCGUUACCCGCAGAAGAAGCACCGGCUAACUCCGUGCCAGCAGCCGCGGUAAUAC
rnacentral:rRNA from 1 species